rnacentral:rRNA from 1 species
AGAGUUUGAUCCUGGCUCAGAACGAACGCUGGCGGCAGGCCUAAUACAUGCAAGUCGAGCGCCCAGCAAUGGGAGCGGCGGACGGGUGAGUAACACGUGGGAAUAUGCCCCGAGGUACGGGACAACUCAGGGAAACUUGAGCUAAUACCGUAUGAUCCGGCAACGGCAAAGAUUUAUCGCCUUGGGAUUAGCCCGCGUCC